AAUAAAUAUAUAACAAAAUAAUUUUAAGAAACUCAACAAUAAAAUCUCGCGCAUAGCACGGGCACUCACCUAGUCAAAUUAAAAAGAUCCAUCUCCAUUCUCUAUUUUCAAUGUUUGAUUAUUUUCUUACAUAGUUAUGUAUCUUUAAAAUGAAAUAAAUUUUUAAAAUUAUGCUACGACCCUUACUUCAUCAUCUCAAUAGAAUUAAUAAAAAAGUUUAUUUUCUCUGUUCCAACUUCAUUCUAUAGAAAAAAUCCAGAGAAGAAGAUGAAGAUCAAAAAAAAAAAUGAUUCGUUUUAGAUAUAUGAGAAUUGAAAUUGUUCAAGGAAAUUUAUUUUUUAAAAUUAGUGAGUAAGGUUCUUUAGAGGCUAUCUAAGACUUUAACUUCUUUUUUUUAUAUAAAUUUAAGUAUGAUAUUACUUGAUGAUAUUGGCUCAAUUUCAUUUUUAGAUAAGUCUUGUUAUCUCUUUUUUCUUAAAGCCAAUAUCAUAUGAUUGUUUUAUAAAGUAAAUCAGUCAU
rnacentral:sRNA from 1 species